GGGGGAUAUUGCGCAAUGGGGGAAACCCUGACGCAGCGACGCCGCGUGGAGGAAGAAGGUUUUCGGAUUGUAAACUCCUGUCGUUAGGGACGAUAAUGACGGUACCUAACAAGAAAGCACCGGCUAACUACGUGCCAGCAGCCGCGGUAAAACGUAGGGUGCAAGCGUUGUCCGGAAUUACUGGGUGUAAAGGGAGCGCAGGCGGACCGGCAAGUUGGAAGUGAAAACUAUGGGCUCAACCCAUAAAUUGCUUUCAAAACUGCUGGCCUUGAGUAGUGCAGAGGUAGGUGGAAUUCCCGGUGUAGCGGUGGAAUGCGUAGAUAUCGGGAGGAACACCAGUGGCGAAGGCGGUCUACUGGGCACCAACUGACGCUGAGGCUCGAAAGCAUGGGUAGCAAACAGGAUUAAAUACCCUGGUAGUCCAUGCCGUAAACGAUGAUUACUAGGUGUUGGGGGAUUGACCCCCUCAGUGCCGCAGUUAACACAAUAAGUAAUCCACCUGGGGAGUACGACCGCAAGGUUGAAACUCAAAGGAAUUGACGGGGGCCCGCACAAGCAGUGGAGUAUGUGGUUUAAUUCGAAGCAACGCGAAGAACCUUACCAGGUCUUGACAUCCGAUGCAUAACACAGAGAUGUGUGAAAUCCUUCGGGACAUCGAGACAGGUGGUGCAUGGUUGUCGUCAGCUCGUGUCGUGAGAUGUUGGGUUAAGUCCCGCAACGAGCGCAACCCUUAUUGCCAGUUACUACGUUAAGAGGACUCUGGCGAGACUGCCGUUGACAAAACGGAGGAAGGUGGGGAUGACGUCAAAUCAUCAUGCCCUUUAUGACCUGGGCUACACACGUACUACAAUGGCGUUAAACAAAGAGAAGCAAGACCGCGAGGUGGAGCAAAACUCAAAAACAACGUCUCAGUUCAGAUUGCAGGCUGCAACUCGCCUGCAUGAAGUCGGAAUUGCUAGUAAUCGCGGAUCAGCAUGCCGCGGUGAAUACGUUCCCG
rnacentral:rRNA from 1 species